rnacentral:rRNA from 1 species
CACGUAGGCACCAAGCGUUGUCCGGAUUUAUUGGGCGUAAAGAGCUUGUAGGCGGUUCGGCAAGUCGGGUGUGAAAACUCUGGGCUCAACUCAGAGAUGCCACCCGAUACUGCUGUGACUAGAGUGCAGUAGGGGAGCGGGGAAUUCCUGGUGUAGCGGUGAAAUGCGCAGAUAUCAGGAGGAACACCAGUGGCGAAGGCGCCGCUCUGGGCUGUAACUGACGCUGAGAAGCGAAAGCGUGGGUAGCAAACAGG